UACGGGGGGGCAAGCGUUGUUCGGAAUUACUGGGCGUAAAGGGCUUGUAGGUGGCCAACUAAGUCAGACGUGAAAUCCCUCGGCUUAACCGGGGAACUGCGUCUGAUACUGGAUGGCUAGAGUGUGGGAGAGGGAUGCGGAAUUCCAGGUGUAGCGGUGAAAUGCGUAGAUAUCUGGAGGAACACCGGUGGCGAAGGCGGUCUGCUGGCCAAGACUGACGCUGAGGCGCGACAGCGUGGGAGCAAGCAGG
rnacentral:rRNA from 1 species